CCGUAGCCAUUUGCCUCAAG
rnacentral:sRNA from 1 species